rnacentral:rRNA from 1 species
UACAGAGACUACAAACGUUACUCGGAUUCACUGGGCGUAAAGGGUGCGCAGGCGGUUAGGUGUGUUAGAUGUGAAAUACCGGGGCUUAACCCCGGAACUGCGUCUAAAACUACCUGACUAGAGUAUUGGAGAGGUAAGCGGAAUUCCAGGAGUAGCAGUGAAAUGCGUAGAUAUCUGGAGGAACACCAAAGGCGAAGGCAGCUUACUGGACAAUAACUGACGCUCAUGCACGAAAGCGUGGGGAGCAAAAAGGAUUAGAUACCCUUGUAGUCCACGCUGUAAACAUUGCACACUAGGUUUUGGGGCGCUCGACCGUCUCAGGACUCAAGCUAACGCGUUAAGUGUGCCGCCUGAGGACUACGGCCGCAAGGCUAAA